GACGAACGCUGGCGGCGUGCUUAACACAUGCAAGUCGAGCGGAGCGGCGUACGGGUGAGUAACGCGUGAGUAACUGCCCCCCUCUCUGGGAUAACCGUUGGAAACGGCUGCUAAUACCGGAUAGUGGGGGAUGAAUCGUGUGCUAUCAGCUUGUGGGUGGGGUAGCGGCCUACCAAGGCGACGCCGGGUAGCCGGCCGGAGAGGGCGACCGGCGACAUGGGGCUCAGCUACGGCGCAAACUCGUACUGGGGGCAGCAGUGGGGAAUAUUGCACAAUGGGGGAAACCCUAAUGCAGCAGCCCGCGGGCGUGGUGACGGACUUCGAGUUGUAAACCGCUUUCAGCCAUGACGCGGUAGUGGCAGAAUAAGCACCGGCUAACUACGUGCCAGCAGCCGCGGUAAUAC
rnacentral:rRNA from 1 species